rnacentral:rRNA from 1 species
CAGUAGCCGCGGGAAAACGUAGGUGGCAAGCGUUGUCCGGAAUUAUUGGGCGUAAAGGGCUCGCAGGCGGUUUCUUAAGUCUGGUGUGAAAGCCCCCGGCUCAACCGGGGAGGGUCAUUGGAAACUGGGAAACCUGAGUGCAGAAGAGGAGAGUGGAAUUCCACGUGUAGCGGUGAAAUGCGUAGAGAUGUGGAGGAACACCAGUGGCGAAGGCGACUCUCUGGUCUGUAACUGACGCUGAGGAGCGAAAGCGUGGGGAGCGAACAGGAUUAGAUACCCCCGUAGUCCCUGUCUCUUAUAU